GGCUCCGUAGCUCAGCCCGGACAGAGCAGCCGACCUCUAAUCGGCAGGUCGCGGGUUCGAGCCCCGCCGGGGCCUCCA
rnacentral:tRNA from 1 species